AUACGGAGGGUCCAAGCGUUAUCCGGAAUCAUUGGGUUUAAAGGGUCCGUAGGCGGACAAUUAAGUCAGAGGUGAAAGCCCACAGCUCAACUGUGGAACUGCCUUUGAUACUGGUUGUCUUGAAUUAUAGUGAAGUAGAUAGAAUAUGUAGUGUAGCGGUGAAAUGCUUAGAUAUUACAUAGAAUACCGAUUGCGAAGGCAGUCUACUAACUGUAUAUUGACGCUGAUGGACGAAAGCGUGGGGAGCGAACAGGAUUAGAAACCCUAGUAGUCC
rnacentral:rRNA from 1 species